rnacentral:tRNA from 1 species
GGAGAAGUGGGAGAGUGGCUGAAUCCACGCCCCUGCUAAGGGCGCAUAGAAGCAAUUCUAUCGAGGGUUCGAACCCCUCCUUCUCCA